rnacentral:rRNA from 1 species
GAUGAACGCUGGCGGCGUGCCUAAUACAUGCAAGUCGAGCGAACGGACGAGAAGCUUGCUUCUCUGAUGUUAGCGGCGGACGUGGGAGUAACACGUGGAUAACCUACCUAUAAUACUGGGAUAACUUCGGGAAACCGGAGCUAAUACCGUAUAAUAUUUUGAACCGCAGGGUUCAAAAGUGAAAGACGGUGUUUCUGUCACGUAUAGAUGGUUCCGGGCUUCAUUAGCUAGUUGGUAAGGUAACGGCUUAUCAAGGCAACGAUGCAUAGCCGACGUGAGAGGGUGGUCGGCCACACUGGAACUGAGACACGGUCCAGACUACUACGGGAGGCAGCAGUAGGGAAUCUUCCGCAAAGGGCGAAAGCAUGACGGAGCGACGCCGAGUGAGUGAUGAAGGUCUUCGGAUCGUAAAGCUCUGUUAUUAGGGAAGAACAUAUGUGUAAGUAAAUGUGCACAUCUUGACGGUACCUAAUCAGAAAGCCACGGCUAACUACGUG